CAGUCGCCGCGGGAAUACGUAGGGUGCAAGCGUUAAUCGGAAUUACUGGGCGUAAAGCGUGCGUAGGCGGUUUGUUAAGUCUGUUGUGAAAUCCCCGGGCUCAACCUGGGAAUGGCAAUGGAUACUGGCAAGCUAGAGUGUGUCAGAGGAUGGUGGAAUUCCCGGUGUAGCGGUGAAAUGCGUAGAGAUCGGGAGGAACAUCAGUGGCGAAGGCGGCCAUCUGGGACAACGCUGACGCUGAGGCACGAAAGCGUGGGGAGCAAACAGGAUUAGAUACUCCUGUAGUCCCUGUCUCUUAUAA
rnacentral:rRNA from 1 species